AAAUGAGGACAUAAUGGAAAACAAGGUUGCUGUCUUUCUGCUGCUGUGCCUAACUGAAGUCACAACGGAUGAUGAAAGGGCAUGUGAAACAACUCAGUGGAAAAGAGGCUGCCUGGAUAAGAACAGGACAUCAUCCCUGUUUAGAGCAGCCCCUUCCAUAUCAUCUCGGAUGCCAUGGAUGGAAACAACCACAAACAUCACCUCAACCUGCAACUGCGACGAGUGGAGCGAGAGGAGGGACACCUGUG